rnacentral:tRNA from 1 species
GAAAUGGGAUAUUCAAGAAAAAGCUUCUAACUUUUUACUUAAGCGACGAAAUUUCGUUUACAUUUC